CAAUAGCGUAUAUUUAAGUUGUUGCAGUUAAAAAGCUCGUAGUUGGAUUUCGGGUUGGCUUCAGCGGUCUCGCUUUGCGUUUGUACUGCCGCAGCCUUCCUUCUUGCUGGGGACGGUCCUCCGGGCUUCAUUGCUUGGGGUCUGGAAUCAGCGACGUUACUUUGAGUAAAUUAGAAUGUUCAAAGCAAGCCUACGCUCUGAAUAUAAUAGCAUGGGAUAACACGACAGGACUCCGGCCUAUCGUGUUGGUCUGUAGGACCAGAGUAAUGAUUAAGAGGGACAGUCGGGGGCAUUCGUAUUCCGUUGUCAGAGGUGAAAUUCUUGGAUUUACGGAAGACGAACAUCUGCGAAAGCAUUUGCCAAGGAUGUUUUCAUUGA
rnacentral:rRNA from 1 species